rnacentral:rRNA from 1 species
CAACCUAAGAGUUUGAUCCUGGCUCAGAACGAACGCUGGCGGCAGGCCUAACACAUGCAAGUCGAACGAGAAGCCGCCCUUCGGGGCGGUGGAAAGUGGCGCACGGGUGAGUAACGCGUGGGAACCUACCCUGAGGUACGGAAUAACGGCUGGAAACGGCUGCUAAUACCGUAUGUGCCCUACGGGGGAAAGAUUUAUCGCCUUGGGACGGGCCCGCGUCGGAUUAGCUUGUUGGUAGGGUAACGGCCUACCAAGGCUCCGAUCCGUAGCUGGUCUGAGAGGAUGAUCAGCCACACUGGAACUGAGACACGGUCCAGACUCCUACGGGAGGCAGCAGUGGGGAAUAUUGCGCAAUGGGGGAAACCCUGACGCAGCCAUGCCGCGUGAGUGAAGAAGGUCUUCGGAUUGUAAAGCUCUUUCAACGGGGAAGAUGAUGACGGUACCCGUAGAAGAAGCCCCGGCUAACUUCGUGCCAGCAGCCGCGGUAAUACGAAGGGGGCUAGCGUUGUUCGGAAUUACUGGGCGUAAAGGGCGUGUAGGCGGUGCGA